CAGACAGUCCUGGAGACUGAAGUUCUUUACACAGAACAGCUGCAGCACAGGCUGCGCUAUUGCAAGCUUGUGCCCUGACACUAAGGUGAUAGGUGUGCUAUAAAUUCAGUCGGUCUCAUCCAUGACCUGGCUGGAUCCCCUCCAGGGGGGAGAGAGCACUUCAGUCUUGAGGGCCGAUUUGCUGCCUGGCCUCU
ensembl:misc_RNA